rnacentral:misc_RNA from 1 species
GAAAUGCGAUAAGUAAUGUGAAUUGCAGAAUUCAGUGAAUCAUCGAAUCUUUGAACGCACAUUGCGCCCGCCAGUAUUCUGGCGGGCAUGCCUGUUCGAGCGUCAUUUCAACCAUCAAGCCCCCGGCUUGUGUUGGGGACCUGCGGCUGCCCGCAGGCCCUGAAAAACAGUGGCGGCUUCGCGGUUAUCCGAUCAGCCAGAGCGUAUGGGGACUCUCUCUCUUGUCACACGCCCGCGGCGCGGACCGACGCCUGUCGACCUUUAUUCAUCUUCUCUCGGUUGACCUCGGAUCAGGUAGGGAUACCCGCUGAACUUAAGC